rnacentral:rRNA from 1 species
UACGUAGGGUGCAAGCGUUGUCCGGAAUUAUUGGGCGUAAAGAGUUCGUAGGCGGUUUGUCGCGUCUGCCGUGAAAGUCCGGGGCUCAACUCCGGAUCUGCGGUGGGUACGGGCAGACUAGAGUGAUGUAGGGGAGACUGGAAUUCCUGGUGUAGCGGUGAAAUGCGCAGAUAUCAGGAGGAACACCGAUGGCGAAGGCAGGUCUCUGGGCAUUAACUGACGCUGAGGAGCGAAAGCAUGGGGAGCGAACAGG